GACGAACGCUGGCGGCGUGCUUAACACAUGCAAGUCGAACGGUGAAGCGCCUUCCUCUUUGGCGGGUGUGGAUGAGUGGCGAACGGGUGAGUAACACGUGAGUAACCUGCCUCUUUCUUCUGGAUAACCGCAUGAAAGUGUGGCUAAUACGGGAUAUUCUGGGUCUGUCGCAUGAUGGGUCCGGGAAAGAUAUUGCUUCGGUGGGGGAUGGGCUCGCGGCCUAUCAGCUUGUUGGUGGGGUGAUGGCCUACCAAGGCGGUGACGAGUAGCCGGGCUGAGAGGGUGGACGGUCACACUGGGACUGAGACACGGCGCAGACUCCGACGGGAGGCAGCAGUGGGGAAUAUUGCACAAUGGGCGCAAGCCUGAUGCAGCGACGCCGCGUGAGGGAUGGAGGCCUUCGGGUUGUGAACCUCUUUCGCCAGUGAAGCAGGCCUGCCUCGUUUGUGGGUGGGUUGACGGUAGCUGGAGAAGAAGCGCCGGCUAACUACGUG
rnacentral:rRNA from 1 species